CUCCCGUGAGAGCUUAGACCACACUUAGAAAUCUCUAAAAAAUCAGAGAACAGGCAGACCAGGAGUAUGGAGGGACAAAGAGAAGGAUGGUCGCUCUUCCAGUCUGGACUAUUACACAGCUGGUUUCAGUACUUGAGAACAAAAUCACCAGGAAGGCUGCAGGGCUUUGCCAAAAACCUGCCCUGCAAAGUCACUUUCCCUUCUUUCUGGGAAGAUUAGAGGGCUGUCAUAGACACAGCAUAUAUGACAUCCUGAUUCCUAUAGCAUGUACAGAGUAGUUUUCAAGAUCCCUGUGACAACGUGGGGAGAUGUGAACAGAGUAACAGGGCAUCUGUAUGAUCACGGAUGGCUGGCACAAGUGAAGAAAGCCUGCACUAAUGCAGUAAUACUCAACUGCAGAGAAGUGACCCACUGUGACCCACAGACUGCACAAAGGUUUUCCUAAGCACUUCUGAGAACCAGCUCUCUGAGGUCCCCCACAUCUCUCUCCCUAACACAGGAAGCCAGGGUGUGGGGCACUGCUCUCUCCCUCCCCAGCGGGUCUCCUGUUGGCCCUGCCUGAGUUUUAUACAGUGCUUCUAUUUGCUCUUGAUGUCCCAGACCACCCAUAAAGGUUGUUGCUAUUUUUUAAUAUCUCUCAGUUUGACAGUUUCACCCGAUAGUAAAAUGUGUACUUCUAACAGUACUGCAACUUUCAACUCCCAGUAGAAUUACUCUUUCUGUUGGUCUUUAAAAUUAUAGCAACCAAAUCCAUUCUCCAAAAUGCUGCUCUAUUUUUUUUUACCAUAAAUUUGACUUUAACUGAUAUUUUUUCAGUGACUAGAAACAUUCAUAUCCUUCUAUGAAAAAUAAACUUUUUGUUCCCUUCUGGAGAGAAACCAUGUCCUUCCACAGAGUGACUGUGGGCUGAGAGGGCUGCAGCUGAGUCAGCACCCGCUGGGAUGGCGUGCAUGGGGCAUGGCCUGUGUUGUGGCCACGUUCUUGCAUGAGACACACCAAGCUCUGUCAUGUACCAGGCUUCUGCUUCUGCUCUGCAUUUUGGGGCCUAUCUUCCUGUUUUUGAGUGUGCCAUGCCAAAAGCAGAGCCCAGGAGAGAGGCCCCUGUUGGCUGUGAUUCCAAUGCCAUAAGCUGAGCCCAGGAGAGAGGUCCCUGUUGGCUGUGAUGGUUCCACUGCCAUUCUGAAAGCUGAGCCCAGGAGAGAGAGAGAGACCCGUUGGCUGUGACAGUUCCACUGCCAUUCCAAAAGCUGAGCCCAGGAGAGAGGUCCCUGUUGGCUGUGAUGGUUCCACUGCCAUUCCGAAAGCUGAGCCCAGGAGAGAGGUCCCUGUUGGCUGUGAUGGUUCCACUGCCAUUCCGAAAGCUGAGCCCAGGAGAGAGGUCCCUGUUGGCUGCAGCGGUUCCACUGCUUCUCUUCCUUUCCUUCCUCAUCAGGCUUUUCUACUCAACAGAUAGAACUCACUUUGUACAAACAACUUCCAAUCCCCAGUAGGCUCUGCUUCCUUUCAGUGU
rnacentral:lncRNA from 10 species